AGGCUCGGGAAGGCUCAGCUAUCCAUCUUAGGGGCCAUGGUGAGGUCCCAUGGUUCAUGGAGCUAAAACAGGACAAUGAGAGGAUCCCCAUUUCCAAGCUGGGCCAUCUGGUCAAGAACACGAAGAUCAAGGGCCUUGGUGAGAUCUACCUAUUCUCCCUGCCUAUCGAGGACUCUGUGACCACUGACAUUCUCUUAAGAGCAUCUCUAAAGGAUGCUGUUCUAAAGAUCGUGCAGAUGUGGGCUGCAACGGUCAAGUUGGACUUAGUGUUAGGUCCUUCGAGGAGGUAACCAUAUUGGCCAAGAUUUUCAUGGUCGUUCUGCAGAGAGGUUACUGUAGGAAUAAAGAUUGGCAAGCCCCAUUCCCAUGAAAGGUGACAACCAUAGUGGUUCUGUGUCACCUGAGGCAUUAGCAUGAUCUCUGUUCCUGUGCCCAGGAAGCUUUGAUAGCCAGUAUUGAUGACUGAUACACACCAGCCAGGGGCUAUUCUGCCACUCUGGACAACUUCACCAAGGCCGACUCUAAAACCAUGUCCAAGACUUACAGCUACCCCCAACUUCUGGAAAGAGACUGUGGCCACCUUGUGAAAACUCACACCAGAGCUCCUUUAGAGGAUCCAGACUUCUGCUAUGGCUACCACAUAUAUUUUUUAUAGCAGAAAUCGAAGUAAGUCUGAGAAGAAAAGAAAUAGAAUGGAAGGGAGGGAGAGAGGGAGGGAGAAAAAUCUAACAAGUAUAUACUUGGACCAGAUCGUGUAUGUUCUGCAGUUUGGUUUUCCAGUCUGGACUUAAUUCACAGCUGUGCACCUCUGCCCUGGCAGCCCCACCCUGGCUGCAGGACGUCCUUUAAAAGCAUGAUGAUGUAAUGAGCUUGAGAUCCUGUAGACUGCCCACCUGGCUAAAUAGAACAUUCUAAAUAUGAAGAGACCGUUGCCAGUUAAGAGCCAAAGAGACCUCUGGCUAUCUUUCCAGGCUCCAUUUGCUAUCCACCUUCUAUCUGACUUCCUCAUAACCUUUAGAUAAAACUCUAGAAAUAAGCUUGACAAGGCUAGCCUCCAUUAACCCUAGAACUGAGGACAAAGAUAGUAUCUAAGUCGAUUUCCUUGCUUUGGUGUAGCCCAUAAACGUGAUGGCCCUAUCUAUGUACUUUGCAAACAAGUGGUCUGAUAACUUUCUUUUUGGUGACUAUAAAAGUUCAUGUAACCUUUCCAUGGUUCCUUUCAGAUCCUUUGAAUCCACAUUUUCUGACCUAUCACGGCUAUUUGUAAUUGGAUCAGAAUAAACUAUUAUUCCCUUAAGAAGAGUUGAUUUAUAUGGUGACAAAAAAAGAAACAAGCAGGUUUUGUACCCAGGGCUUGAUCGGGGUGCCAAACUCAUCCCUUCUGAGUGGCUUUGGGCAAGCCCCUAAGAUGUUUUUACUGUUGUGAUAGCUUUUAUCUUAUAGGGGUAAUUUAACAAUUAGCACAAUCACAAAUAUAUACAGUACCUUUGAACCAGCAUAAACACUUAUCUACUGUCAUCCCUCAGUAAAGAGGGAGUGUAGUUAUGAUGAGAUUUGUAUUUUAACAAGGGCUUCCUGCUGAAGAGAGACUUGAGGGGCUAAGAGCACCGACUGCUCUUUCAAAGAAUCUGGGCUGGAUUUCCAGUACCUGUGUGGUGGCUCACAACCAUCCAGGGGAUUCAAUGGUCUCUUCUGGCCUAUGUGGGCACCAGGUAUGCAGUAGUGCAGACAUACAUGCAGGCUUAUUUAUAUACUUAAAAAGAAUGGAAGUUUUUAGACUAGAAACAGAAAACCAGUGAGCAGUCACAGGGUGACCCAGGGUGAGAAGAACAGAGGUAUAAAGCAGGGAAUAGAUUCAAGAUCCAAGACACAGAUUCCAUAGGUCAACAGCCCCAUGAAAAGGCGACAGACAGACAGACACACACACACACAGACACACACACAGAGGAACAGACUGGCCUUGAAUUCCCAGUCCUCUCACCUCCACUGAGCCAGUGCUGGGAUUGCAAGCACGUACCACACAGGCUUUGAAGAGAGAUAACCUUCUGGCAUGGGUGCGGAAGACAACAAAACUUCAGAGCAAAAGACAGGAGGUCUACACCAUUGUCUCAUUGCUUAGACACAGGCAGCAGAAACUAAUUAGACUAUAGUAGAUACUUGCAAAAUCAAUAAAUGUGAAGUCAAUUUUAACAAUUAUUGCUAAGAAAAAGUUUGGUUAAAAGAACUUAAGCUGGGUAUCGUGCCAGGCGGCUGUUACUGCAGCCCUAGGGAAGUAGAAAGAGAAGGAACUGAAGUUCAGAGCCACCUUGGCUACAUAAUGGGUUAAGACCCAACAGAGAUACUAAGAACCCUUUGUACACUGAAGGACAGGGAAGAGGAAGGAAGGAAAAAGGAAGAAACCACAAUUCAAAGAGCUGGGUUUCUUUCAUUUCAUAAGGCAGAGGUGCUUGGGGGUUUGUUUGUUUUGUUGGGGUAUUUUUUGUUUUUUUGUUUUUUAGACAGAAUAGGCUGAAGAAAGCAAGAAGAAAACUCAGCUACCAUUUCAAAGUUACUUCCUCUGGAAGGAGGCAGGGAGGGUCACAACUGACACAUCUGGGGAAACUGGCCUGCCGGGGCAACUCGGCUGCUUUUUCUCAGGUCAGAUAAAUAACUCAGUGCCAUCGAACAUUAGUGCGACUGACUCCAUUUUGACGUCUCAGUGAACUGCUGGACCAAGCGACGUAGCUUAUUAGUUCACUGAGUUACAGAAGUGAGUCUCAUUCAUUCUCAUUCUCUCUCUCUCUCUCUCUCUCUCUCCUCCUCCUCUUCCUCUUUCUCCUCCUCCUCCCCCCCUUUUCUCCUUUGCAAUGUUGAGGAUAAACCCAGAGCCUGGUGCAUACUGGGCAGGUGUUCUGCCACUGAGCUACACCUCCAGCCCAGAGUCACAAUUCAUGCCUAAGGCAUGCAGUUCUUCCCACAAAAACAGUAAGAAUGAGUUAAGAAGUAACCAGUCCCCAAAUGUACCAGGUAGACACCCACCACACAAAUCUUUGGUUCUUAGUUAUUGGAGGUUUAAAAAAUAAAAAUAAAAAGCUACCACACACAGAGCACACCAGGCACAACCAUAACCUUCUGUAUUUCUGCUCUGCUAAGGCGAUGUGGAUAAACAGCCGAGUGGGUCAGGGGAGGCGGUAUUUAACUACCACUUGUUCUGAGUUUUUUGAUACAUAAGGGACAGAGGUUUACAAAGGAUUAAGUGGCAUAUGUGCAGACACGCACAGACAGAACGUGGGACAAGGAAGAUGGUGACUCUGAAGCAAGUUUCAAAUGCAAGCUAUUUCUGCCACCCAAUCAAUCCUUCAGGCACCCAUCUGGACAUCUGCCUAAGCAACUAUUCGCCUCCCUAUUGGAUGAAUCUUUAGAUCAGAGAGAAAACUGCACAGAAGGUAACCAGUUUGUCAAUAUUCCCUCAUGAACCCAUAAUUGUAGCACUUAAGGCUGAGGCAGGAGUUCAAGUAACAGUGGGCAAGUCUGAUGGUGGCAGCAAGUCUGAUGGUGGCAGCACAGACCAAGGAUACCAUACCAACCCCACUAUUCUCCAUGUAUCUACCCAGCCAUGGUCCCUCAGGAAAGACAAAUGGCAGUUUCACUAAGGAAUGCUCUUGAUGAACCAGAUGCGCUCUUCCACAGAAAACCAACUUUUCUCGAAAGAACCAACAGUGAUUACUCAGGCUUCAGUAUUUUGCAAAUAUUUUCUAAAACUGAACAACUGAGCUGUCCUGGUGCUACACACUGCCAAUCCCAGCCCUCAGGAGGAUGGGGCAAGGUGAUGGUCACAAGUCCAAGGCCGUGGACUGCGGCCACCAAAUCUGUCUCAAUAACAAAUAAAAAAACCCACUAAAAACCAAAA